rnacentral:rRNA from 1 species
CCUACGGGUGGCUGCAGUGGGGAAUUUUGGACAAUGGGCGCAAGCCUGAUCCAGCCAUUCCGCGUGAGUGAAGAAGGCCUUCGGGUUGUAAUGCUCUUUCGCAAGGGAAGAAAACUUAUCCUCUAACAUAGGAUGAGGUUGACGGUACCUUGAUAAGAAGCACCGGCUAACUACGUGCCAGCAGCCGCGGUAAUACGUAGGGUAUGACCGGGAAUCGGAAUUACUGGGCGUGUUUCGUACGUCAGAUGUUAAAUCCCCGAGCUCAACUUGGGAACUGCGUUUGAAACUACAAGACUAGAAUAGGUCAGAGGGGGGUAGAAUUCCACGUGUAGCAGUGAAAUGCGUAGAGAUGUGGAGGAAUAUCAAUGGCGAAGGCAGCCCCCUGGGAUCAUAUUGACGCUCAUGCACGAAAGCGUGGGGAGCAAACAGGAUUAGAUACCCUGGUAGUC